rnacentral:tRNA from 1 species
GGUUGUUGCUCAGAGGUAGAGUGCUGGCCUAGCAUGCGUGAGGCACUGGGUUCCAUCCUCAGCACCA